GGCCUGUCUAGCGCCGAAAUCGAUCCUUAACUGGUCCUCAAUCCGAUAAGAUAGAAGGGCAAAUUCCAAAUUGGCCUGACCUGGCUCGGCCCGUUUGACACCCAUACACAAAAUACAUAUAAACACUCGAAUUACACACGACAUCACAAAAACUCUAAUAUUUUUCGAAUCUUCCACACACAUAUAAAUACGCACACUAACAAUUACACAUCCAUAUCGUCACUCACAAAAAUACAUAAUAUAAGGGAAAGAGGGCAAUAAUUUUCAUCGGGGGGCCACACAGCAAUACCCAUCUCACAUUCUCACACAUCUACAUACAAUUACAGACACCCAUUAUAUACUCGGGUUUUUCCAUGGAAUAAGAAAACAGACAGAGAUAUUCAUAUACACACACAAUACUCUCAUAGAAUACUCUCAGACCCACCAUUGAAGAAAAAAAAAAGCUUCAUUCUCCAUGGAUUAACACCGACGCACACACAGCUAUGGACACAACGACACACAGUGAGAGAGACACGGGAAUUGUGAGGUUUAGGACUGAAAACAGAAAGAGAACUGAUCGGAGAAAGAAAAAAUAGAGAGAUUUGAUCGAGAAACAACGAGAGAGAAAACUGAGAGAGAUAGAGGGAGAGAUGGCGUGAGACGAAGUGAGAGUUGAGGGAGAAACACGAGUCUCGCGUUCUGGUUACUGUUCCGGCGAUGGAUUCGUCGAAAAUGCGUCAAAGCAUCCCAAAAGUUAGCCAAAAAAACCACAAAAUUUGGCGACCCGAUCGCAUAAGCGGAUGCUGGCUUCGUCUUUAUUUUUUCGCGGUCACUGGUUCGUGUUGGCAAAAGUAGUAAAGGGUAUACCGAGUUCGGUUAGUUCGAGAUUGAGGUUCGAAUCCGGUUUUGUCCGUCGAUCACAUAAUUUGGCACAAUAAAAGCUCCAAUCGAGGAAACAUGUUACCUUUAAAUCAAGGACUUCAAAGCCUAAACAUUAAAGAUCGUAAUUUCUCACAUCUACAAAUACAAGGGGGAAAUGUUGCUGCACAGGAGACGCAUUUCAUUAUUUGGGUAAUUCAAGCUGCAUUUGUAAGGAGACACACUUCCUUGUUUGGGUAAUUCAAGCGACAUUUGUAAGGAGACACUUUUUUGUUUGGGUAAUUCAAGCGGCAUUUGUAAGGAGACGUACUUCCUUGUUUGGGUAAUUCAAGAGAUAUUUGUAAGGAGAUGUAUUUCCUUGUUUGAAUAAUUCAAGCGACAUUGGUAAGGAGACACUUUCUUGUUUUGGUAAUUCAAGCGACAUUGAUAAGGAGACGCACUUCCUUGAUUAGGUAAUUCAAAUUUUAAUUGUUAGGUGAUGUACUUCCUAACUUAAGUCUAUAUUCUUAGAAGAUGUACCUCCUAGUCGAGUCAUAUCCCUUGAUUCCUAAAAAAUGUACUUCUUAGUCGAGUAAUUCCCCUUGAUUCCUAUAAGAUGUACUUCCUAGUUGAGUCAGUCCCCUUGAUUCUUAGAAGAUAUACUUUCCGGUGGAGUCAGUCCCCUUGAUUCCUAGAAGAUGUACUUCCCGGUCGAGUUAGUACACUUGAUUCUUAGAAGAUGUACUUCCUAUUCGAGUCAGUCCACUUGAUUCCUAGAAGAUGUGCUUCCCGAUCGAGUCAGUUCCCUUGAUUCGUAGAAGAUGUACUUCCCGGUGGAGUCAGUCCACUUGAUUCUUAAAAGAUGUACUUCCUAUUCGAGUUAGUCCACUUGAUUCUUAGAAGAUGUGCUUCCCGAUCGAGUUAGUCUCCUUGAUUCCUAAAAGAUGUACUUCCUAGUUGAGUCAGUCCACUUGAUUUCUAGAAGAUGUACUUCUUGGUCGAUUCAGUCCCCUUGAUUCCUAGAAAAUAUACUUCCUGGUCGAGUCAGUCCACUUGAUUCCUAGAAGAUGUACUUCCUGAUCGAGUCAGUCCCCUUGAUUCCUAGAAGAUGUACUUCCUGGUCGAGUCAUUCCCCUUGAUUCCUAAAAGAAGUACUUCCUAGUCGAGUUAGUCCCCUUGAUUCCAAGAAGAUGUACUUUCUAGUCAAGUCAUUCCCUUUGACUCCUAGAAAAUGCACUUUCUAGUCGAAUCAUUGUAACCCAUAGAAGAUGUAUUUUUUUGUUUGGUUUGUUCAAGUAGUUAUGAUAUGACUUUCACAAAAGUCCUCUGAUGAUAAAUUGAGACAAAAAUGUAAUUCCUAUUGUUUGAGACUUUACUUUUCUGGUAAAUGGAAUCUCUCUUUAUAAUAAUCUUGGUUUGGAAUAAUUUUCUUUCUAGUUUUUAUUUGAUUUCAGGAACCCGCCUGAAGAGCAGGGAGAAUAAAUGGAAAGUCAAGCAUCAAGGUGAAGAAGUUGAAAGCCAAGCAACAAGGUGAAGAAGUUGAAGUCAAGCAACAAGGUGAAGAAAUGGAAAGUCAACAGAUUGAAGAAAUAGCAAGUUAGGAGUCCGCCUAGAGAAUAGGGUGAAGAAAUUGAAAGCCAAGCAACAAUAUAAUGAAAUUGCAAGUCGGGAGCUCGCCUGGAGAAUAAGGUGAUGAAACUCAAAGUCAAGAGUCCAAAAGAAGCUGCAUAGAUAGGAUUUUUGUAAUUUAUUUUAUGUUUUAACUUGUAAUUUUCAUUUUUGAUGUAAUGACAGAGCCACGGACUAGAACCUCGACAGGACCUCACUUAACUCUUUAAUUCGGCAUAGUUCUUUUUCUUCCAGCUCUUUGAGAUACCUGUGACUUGACUCUCACAUAACUUGAAGCAGGUAAGAUGUCCUAAAUCAAGACUCGGUGGUAGUCUGUCCUUUUUUGUAUCCUUUCUUCAAAUAAUGAUUGGGUCCAAAUUCGAUCUCGUUGUCUA